rnacentral:tRNA from 4 species
CGCGGAAUGGAGCAGUCUGGUAGCUCGUCGGGCUCAUAACCCGAAGGUCGUAGGUUCAAAUCCUGCUUCCGCAACCA